AAGAAGAGGCGGGCGUUUUGGGGAUUCAUGGCGAGGGGCUCGUCAGUGCAGGCGCUCUACGAGCUCUGCAAAAAGACCUUCUCGCCUUCGGCCGCCGCUUCCUCUCCUCCUCCCACCUCCGCCAUCCGAAAGAUAGCUGCCCUCUUGGAUACAAUCAGUCCAGUGGAAGUCGGACUCAAAGCUGAUGAUCUGGAGGAUGAUAGGGGUCAUGGCUUUUUUGGCUCAAGCAUAUAUAAACAUUCAACCAGGGUAGCUCGAUGGGCUCAACCGAUAACAUACUUGCACAUAUAUGAGUGCAAUAGUUUUUCGAUUGGUAUAUUCUGCUUGCCCACUUCAUCUGUUAUUCCACUUCAUGACCAUCCUGGGAUGACUGUGUUAAGUAAGGUUCUAUAUGGUUCUAUGCAUGUGAAGUCAUAUGAUUGGAUAGAGCCUGCCUGCUCGACGCGAAGUAACAAGCCAGAUGACUUUCCUGUAACAUUGGCAAAAUUACACAUGGACACUGUUCUGACAGCACCAUGUCCAACCACUGUUCUAUUCCCAAGAAGUGGUGGCAACUUGCAUUGUUUCACUGCAGUGACUUCUUGUGCUGUUCUUGAUGUCUUGGCUCCACCAUAUUCUGAGGAAGCAGGACGGUGUUGUACCUAUUACCAUGAUUACCCAUACUCCACUUUCACUCCUGUGAGUAGAAUUUUAGUGAAUGAGAAUGAAGAUGAAUAUGCAUGGCUUGAGGCUAUAGAAGCUCCAGAUGAUCUUCACAUGCGUUCAGGCAGAUAUACUGGACCAGCUGUACAGUUCCUAACAACAGGAAGAGUCAUGGUUUCCAGGAUCAUGCACUGUAGUCUGAAGUAUUAUCCCUUCUUGGUGCACAUCAAGCUACAGUGAGAGCAACUCCUCCAGCAUGAAAGAGAAGAUGACAGCUCAAUCUACAGGCCUAAUCUGAGUUGAAGAACAUUGGUCCGAUAUAACAACCUUAUGCAUGCUAUGGUUUUGUUUUGCUACCACCGAAUGAAAGUUUCUUAUUAAUUUUGAACUGGAAAGCAAAACGACUGUGUUAUCUUUGCAUGUUGCAGUUCAAGUUCCCUUGGUCCAGAAUCAGACUGCUAAGUUAGCUUCAGGUCAGAUUGCAGCAUUUGGAUCUGACUUGAAGUGUAUCAUUCAUGUAACCCACAGAAGCAUAUGAAAGAAGAAAAAUCAUGGUGGUAUUUUGAAGUAGUGAUCAAUUACAUGGAAGGAAAAAAAGACCACCCAUUGCAGAGAACAUACUAAAUAUCAGAAGAAGCAUCACUUAAGCACACAAGGGAAGUGGGUUGGAAUCGGUCCAGUUGUUGCAGCUAGCAUGACAGAUUCUUGUUUGGUUCGAAGCUCAUUGUCACCUUUAAUCAUGCUUGGUCUUUUCUCUCCAUCGCACCGGUGGCAAUGGGACUUUGACAGAGGUGAUGACAUGCAAGGUGCACCAAACACCAGUGAUAUCUACUGCCUACCUGUACAAGACGCACACCUUGUACCUAAUUUCUUCAUCAUUCAUUGAUGCUGAGACCAUCAUGUUGCAUGGAUUCAUCUUGAGAUGGGACCUCGGUAUCAGCAGUGCUGUCGGCAGCCGCCAAAAUAUUCUCACGUCUCUUCGUCCAAAAAUGCACCGGUGGAGCGAAAUGGAGGAGGCAUUGUUCAUGUGGUUUUGAACUGUGACAAGGUAAUCUCCCUGGAAAAGUCAUGAACGCUAUAAUCCUCAGGGAGUGUGAUGGAUGAGUGCUUCUCCUUGUCAUGGCACAAAGUCUCUCAGAAAAAUAAUGCAGGAAUUAAAAUGAUCGAUCACUGUCGAUUCAAAGCUUAAGCUCUACGAGUCAUGAAAGGUAUGGAUUUGUAAUAUUAGAGUAGAUCUUGGUGAAUCUUGCAUUUGACCUCUGUCUCAUCAGCAAUAUUUGCUUGUGGUUGGACACAUACUAAAUCGUAUAGAUCAAAGGCUGUUGGCA